GCAGCGCCGUGAACAUUUCAAACGGUGCUUUCAUUUAAAACAACAACGCAUUCUUUAGUAAUUCAAAUAUUAACUAUAUAUGGAUAUUGUGCUAACACUUUUAUCAAUAAACGAUUUAAUGAAUAACAGUUGUAGUGAAUAAACCGUUGCAAAAACAAUUUGUAUAUAUUUGGACAUUAUCGCACGUGGAUAUUAAUAUAGUUUAGAUUAUAUUUCCAUAGAUGCAACUACCGGUAUACUGCUAAAACACGUUAUUAAACUUUUUGUGCAUACAUGGUGUUUGCAAAGUUUAUAAGUUCAACAUUCAUGGAGAAAAACGAUGAUCGAUCUACUUAUUAUUUUGUUAACUGAAUCGUGUUCUUAUUAUAUCUGCAAGAAACAAUGAAGGUUUAGAGUUAGGUCCGGAGCCUCAGUUAAAAAAGACGGGAGUUGAAAAGCGAAGCCUUUUGCAUUUAUCAUGUAUCUCGUCGUGGAAAGUAUGCAGGGAGGUGCGAGAUGAACAUGGUAUUGCAAACGAAACACGCACUGACGUCUGAAGUAGCGAUGUGUUGUGAUGGAAAAAUGUUAAUUAAUUUUUAGUUAAAGUUUGGAACAUUUCGAUGUUAAAAGACCACACAGUGUAAUUAUUUUAGUUUAAAUGAACAUAUUUAUACAAUUUAUGUUUGGAUAGUGUACACCUUAAGUUAUUAGUUUCCUCGUUUGUGAGCCAUGAUUUUAUGCGCAAUAAUAUGUUUAGUUGUAUUAAAACAUAUAAUCAAGUCAAAGCCAUCUAUUAAACAUUAAACGAAUAUUUGUGCACAUUGACGUUGAAUUAUAAAUAGUAGAUUGCGCUAGGAAAGAGACGAUGGGACAGACAAUUGUUGUGGUGUUGACUCUAGGAGUGAUUGGGCUGAUUAUUUUCUUGGGCUUACUGAUACUUGUCUUCAUGCGAUGCCAAAGGUCUACAAGACGCAACGCUGCAAAACAUAUAAAACGGAGGACAGUUAUAGCACAAUGCUAUUGUUUUAAAUCAAAUAGAUACCAUCAGGUGGAAAUGAACGUGUUGGAAGAUGAAAUGAUGCAAAUAAAUGGGGAGACUCUGUCCAGUAAUUCUCCAAAAAAUCCCGAUGACGUGGAUCGAGUGUCGACAUUGGACAGCAAUUACAUCGCACAAAGUAUGAACGGAAUCGACCACAUUUAAGUCCAAGAAAGUGUUGUUGUGUAAACUUUGUAACACUCUGAAAGCAGAGAAAAGCUAACAAGAAAUAUCUUUAAAAAAGAUAUACGGCGUUGAUUGUGGUUGGAGUUUAUGAAAGGUAAAGAGUUCAAUGAAUGAGAUCAAUAAUAGCGAAUGUCUUUCUAUGCAGUUCUUAGCUGCAUCACACGCAGUACGGGAUGCUACGCGGAGUUUUUGCGGCUUAUUUUUAAUUAUAACAUAUUGCUGGUCAUAAACCUAUAGAUACAAAACAGAAAACCAAAAGAAUACUGGAAGUGAAAUUAAAACAUAUGAGUCAACCGGCCACACGCGAAGUAUCCGUACAUAUUUUAAAUAUUUAUACGCGCGUUCUUCGAACAAACCAGUUUUAGUGGUUUGUCGGGCAUUGCUAUUUGAUUCAAGUGUUAACAGUAUCGAGAAUCAUCGCGCUCAUGCUUAAUACAUUAGUCAAUAUGGUGGAAUAAUUCUUGUUGAAUUAAUUAAAAAUAAUAUUUAUCAUGGUAUUGUUGAAAACACAUUAAGAAUCUAUUAUUGUAAUACCAUAAUUAUAUCGCUGGAUAUCUUUAUUUAACAUCUUUCUGGUCUAAAGAAAAUUGCAGUUCACAUAGUUCACGCUAUAGCGUCUUUAUUAUAUAACGGUUAUUUUACUGGCCGCGAACUCCGGUCAGAACAUAAUGUAUUCGUGAAGAACCAGCGAUGACCUGUAUAUAAACUCUGACAUUCACACACACUAACCGCGAACUGACGAAAGUGUAGAAUCUACGCACAGAUUGUAUUGUGUAAAACUGUUCUAUCUACCAUGCCUUUUCAUAAGAGAUAAAAUUGUUUCAUGCUGAACACGCAGUAAAACAGUGUUAGAAAGACGCGGCCAUGUUUCCAAUGUUCUGGUAGUAUUCUCAAAUCAGCCAAUGGACUAAAUGAAGUGUAUUCAUUCGUGGGUAGCCGCGGGCAUUUUUAUGAAUGUAACCUAAAGGUCACCUAAGGUCAAAAGUGACGUUUAUCAGCUAUGCCGAAAAAAAACGCAAUAAAAAUGCACAGAAGCUAUAACGGUAACACUCUUUUUUCUCGCAUCACUAGAGCUAUCCCCAUUACGUUGUGGAGUAUAGCUUCACCAUCACAACGCCAUGCUGUAUGACCCAUUCGGGAUAUACUAGUACAUACAAAGUGAACAAAAUUAUCAAAGAAAUUAAUAAGAACUAUUUGUGACUGUGGACAUUUGGACCGUAUGCUUGGACAUCUGUUGUCUUGUUUUGUUCGAACGACGUCUGCUCCUCUUUCUUUUUAAAGAACAAAGAGGAGGGUGAUUAACAGUUGAAUAAAGAUAUUUGUCAAAAUCUUACACCAUAAAUCGAGUGUUUGGACGGUAGUUUGUUAAACCGUUGCGGCGAGGAAACCACAUGGACAUGAUUUUGUGGGAUAAUCCUAUUGUUUCUCGGCGCAAUGAGCUAAUGCAUUGCCAGACAAUUUAGAGUUAUAGAGAAUCAUGUUAAGUGAAUAAUUAAUAUAUUUACUUGUUUGAAGCGUGUAUUGUGGGUUGUCCAAUUUA